UGUGCUAGAUGGGGAGUUAGCGGUGCCCUGUAACUUGCAAUCCGCUGUAGCAAGAUUGAAUUCCUCACCGAGGCCUUAACUUUGUAUAGUCAGUCUUAGGCAAGUGGUGUUGAGAGUCAGGUCCCACGCAAUGAAAACCUGUGAACCUGGUCAGGUCCGGAAGGAAGCAGCCAUAAGCAGUCAUUUUCAUGUGCCGUGGCCAAAUCUGGCUUGAGUCAACUACUUAAGAAACGUAUAUAAAUUAUUGUCAGAGUGAGGUGCAC
rnacentral:SRP_RNA from 1 species